rnacentral:lncRNA from 1 species
AUGACUAAAUUUUUUAAUCUAGCUAUAGUAUUUUGGACGAUGGUAAGACUCAAGAGGUUAAAAGAAUAAUGCGUGUUAGAACUAAAGUAGCUCUAGAACAGGUGAUCUCUUGAAAAACGGAGCGUCACAGUUGGUAUCAAAGCCCAUCAACAGCGCGGCUUCCCAGCUAACGAACGUUCUAGGUGGAGCGUGGCUCUCUACAACGUCGGGUGAGGGUAACGAGACAGAUCUCGCAUCGCCUGAUAUUUAUGAAUGUGCUUGAGUCCGACGAGAACGUCAGGACUUAAAAGGAUUAAUUAAUCUCUUAAUCCGACUAUAACAUUUAGAUAGUGGUCAGACCUAAAAAAUUAAAAAGAUUAAGGCUUCGUUUGGAAAUGCAGGGAGAUUGCGUUACGUGCGGUGAGAAAGUACAUUGGAAAAAUUACCUUGUUUAUUUCUAUAAGUAAUAUUGCGUUCCGCAUAACGCGAUGAGCUGGUUACGAAAUAUUUUCUACAGUCUCACCGGAGAACGCAGAAGUAUAUCCUUAUAUGUUUUUUCCUCAACUCCAUUUUAUCUAAUAGCGUUAGAUAGAUUUCAAUACCAAACUAAGUCUAAGUGUGCUAGAGUUGGCAACUUGUUUUUCUAUUCUACGUCGCGAUAUUGUAAAGAGAGAUUUGGAAACGCACUUUCUUCUUGGCGACGCACUUGCACGAAUGGUGCGGCGGUCGGUCCAAAUUGUCCGACUAGCCAGUCAGCGUAGCCGGUCGUUCACGGCGGAAAACGACUGAAAAACAAACAAAAAAAAAAAAAAAAAAAAAAAAGCGUUUUCCAGUUUGAUUGAUAAGUGCUUCCACCUCUCUAUUCAUAAAUAGGGUUAAUAAAAAAAAGACACGAAUAAUCAAUCAGGGGCCCAACUGAUGGUGGCUCGGAAGCUUCUCGGAGUCUUUGCUUUGAACCUUCAUUUGGACUCUCCCUCUCCCUCUCCCUCUCCCUCUCCCUCUCUAAAUUUGUUUAGCACAUGUAUAGGAAAAUUUCAAGGCAAAUUUUGCUUCUUCCAUUCAUGAAUAGUAGUGUGCUAUCUUAUCUUGUUUCCACAUAUAUGUAUACUAGUUAAGGUGCCCCGCGCGAUGAGAUAGAAAGAUAAUACAAUAGUAAAUUAUUAUAAUUAUUAAUAUCAUUUUUUUUUUCUUUAUUAUGCAUUAAUAUUUUUAAAUAUUAUUUAUCGUAGACCUUUCAUAGGAUGCGAAGAGCAGUUCGAACCUAUAAGGGUCCUCGAUUAAUAAGUUCGAUGCGGCGGGAAGAUAAUAAUACAAUAGUAAAUUAUUAUAACUAAUUUUGAAAUUCAAAUAUCAAAUUUAAAAUAAAAAAUUAAAGUUUGAAAUCAAAAUUUACCAAAUUUAAGUUUGAAUCAAAAUUUAAAAAAUUUAAAUUUGAAAUCAAAAUUUAGAUUCAAUUUAAAAUUCAGUUUAAAAUUUGAAUUCAAAUUAUAAUUCAAAAUUCUAAUUACAAAUAAGUUCAAAAUUUUAAUUUUAAGAUUGAUUCUAGAUUUAAAUUUAAAAUUUUGAAUUUUUAUAUUUUGGGACUAAAGUGAAAAUUUUGUAAAUUUAAGAACCAAAAUUGAUAUGCAAAAGAAAAAUAAAGUAUUAUUUUUGGACCCUAAAGUCUCCAAAAAUAAAAAAUUAAUUGAAAUGAAAGCACUAUUUUGGUUGGUUUCCAAAAUAAAUUAUUAUAUAUUUAUAAAUAAAAUAUUAUAUAACAACAUAUUUAUAUAAAAAAUAAAAUAAAANGUCCUAAGUCUUUUUUCCGUGCUUAAUUAAUUUGAUUCGUUGAAGGGUGCCUAUCAUAUAUAUUGACUUGACUAUGCUUUUUAUUUUUGAGAAAGAUAGGUAGCACGCUACCCGCUUCGUUUAUUUUAUUUAGAAAUAAAAUUUGACUAUGCUAAAGUGACAAACGUAUGGGAUAGUCUCCAUACUAUUUUGAUAUUUCAUGGUGGUCCCUGCGAGUUUCACGUGUUAACAUAAUUUAAUUUUUCUCAUAUUAAUAUAGACAUUUUAUAUCUUCUGAUAAUUAGCUUCUCGCUCAUUUUAAUUUUCUAAAAUCCGUGAUAUUGGGAUGAGUUCUAGAACGUAUUUCUAAAAUAUCAACAAAUCAUAAAUCAUAAAUUUUACACAUUGAUUAUUUCUCACAAAUCAAAUAGCCAUAAAAAUUCCUGUCUAUUUGCGGAUAAUCAUCUAAACUUUUAAAAAAUUUCAUUUAAUACCUAAACAUUCAAAAAUUUUUUAAUUAGUGACGUAAAUUUAUAUUUUAUUAAUUUAAACUGAUCAAAGUUUGUUACAAUGGUGUUAUAUAUGAAUCAUUUUAAAUAUAUACAAUAGCUUUUGGUAUUUCGUAGCCAAACACUAUUUGUAAUAAGUUUACUUUAUUUAGAAUAAGUUUUUAAUUUAAAAAAUCAGCCUUUUUAGCAAAAUUAACUUUUAAAAACCAAAAUUCACCGUAAUCCUAAACACUCCUUUUAUGUGACCAUGAAAAACACGCAAUUGUAGCUUAAUAUUCCUUGUAGGACCUACAGGAGAAUUAUGACUCCAUACCAUUAUCAAACCUUUCAUGUGAAUUGUGAUAGCUUAGCCAUAUAUAUAACAUUUAGGGCGCGUUUGGUUCGAAGUUGGAGUCGGAAUCGAAAUCGGAAUCAAAAUAAGCUAGAAUCGGAAUCGAAAUGACUCAUUACCUAAUUCUGUUUGGUUCAUCACCUGAAUCGGAAUCGGAAUAAAUCAUUCCCAUUGUCGAUGUUUGGUUCAGGUGGAUAUAAAAAACGUAAUCAAAUUAAUAUAUUAACAUUAUCUUUAUAAUAUAUUAAUUUAAAUUCACAUUAAAAAUUAAAUAUUAAAAAUUUAUAUCAAAAUUUUGAAAUAAUAUCAAAAUUUUAAAUCUAUUUUUUUAAAAAAAAAUUAAACUUUGAAGUUGAGUGGAUAAUUCAAAUUAUGAAACUAAAUUUUGAUUUAUUCAAAUUCAAACUAAAAUUACAAUUUAAAUUUUAAUUUGAAUCCAUAAAUUUAAUUUAAGUUUGAAAUAAAAUUUGAAUAAAACUUUAUAUAAAUUAAAAUUUAAUUUAAAUUCAAAUUCAUAAGUUAGAUUCGAAAUACUUGAUUAAAUUUUAAUUUUUAAUUUAAGUUCAAAUUAAAAUUUAAAAUUAUAUAUUAUAUUUUAAUUAAAAAAGUUAAAAAAUAAAUUUAAUCCAAAUAAAUAUCCAUUCCGUCCGGAUUCAACUUUUAAUCCGGCCUCCUAGGCCGGAUUGAAAAAUGAGGUAAUUGGGGGAUUCCCAUUCCACUCAGGAAUCAGAAUCGGAAUGGGACUCUCGUGUACCAAACACCUACAAACGGAUUUACCCAUUCCGAUUCCGAUUCUAGGGUGAAAAAGAAGCGAAUACUCUAAUUACACAGCCUCAUAUAAGUCGGCUACUUGUAUUUAAUAUCACGAUAGCACUUGGUUGCUUACAAUAGUUUUUCUACCUAUUUAAGAUAUCUACCUCUUUUGAUUCAUUUUUCGGUACCGCUUAGACAUACAUUUUUAAACCAAAAAACUUCAUCCCACUCUACUUAUAGCGGGUGCCCACAUCAUGGCUCUAAUUGCAUCACUCUCUUAAUUCAAUGGCCAAAAUACUUUCUUUUGGUUUAGCACCAAUGACUUUCUUAUUCAUAGCAUAGUAGCCUAAGUUCUCUCUCUCUCUCUCUCCUCUCUCUUUUCUCUUCUUCUCUAUAUAUAUUUAUUUAUAUAUAUAACAAUAUAUAUAUUUAUAUAGCGUGGUCUGGAAAUGUUACUGAAGCACUCGGAGCUCUCGUGCUUCCAAGUUCGUUUUUCAAUGUUCCGCACCUCUUUCGAUAUCUCGUACAUUCGACUCCUAGACUUGAUCUAGAGUAUUUGAAGUAUUCUAGAAAUAUAAAUAUUGUCUGAAUUUCUCGAUUUAUUUGUCCUAAGUGAUUCUGGGAAUUGGCCAAAAUCCAACGCGCUUGAAAAUUAAAAAUCAUACAAAAAUAUGAUGUAUGAUUGACAUUAAAUUUUAGAUCAAAUUAUGAUCGUUGUUUAUUAUCGUAUAUAAGAAUUUUCUAUUUCAAAAUUCAUGUGAAUUUGGAUAUUUCUAGAACCAGUUAAACUUGUGCCAAAUGGUUCUUCACCACUGGCCGGUUAAAAUUAUUAUUUUAGCCCUUUCGAAUUCUAGGCAAAUGAUGAUCGCAAAAUAAUCACAAAAUUUUUAUUUUUUCUAGUAAUUACUUCAAAAUUACGUCUAGCAUCAACUUUCUUAACGGUAGCUCCGAUCGUCGAUUCAAAAGUUCCGAAUCAUCGAAUAAUACUUGAAGUCACGGAGGGCUGCGUUGCUUUUCCAGAAGCAUACGGAUCGCCACUCUCUUUCUCUCCUCUCUUUCUCUCUUCUUUCUCUUCUCUCUCUCUCUCUCUUCUCUCCUCUUCUCUCUUCUCUCCUCUCUCUCUUUAUUGUUGUAAUAUACUAUAUUAUUUUAUACUAUAUAUAUAGCUAUUAUAGUAGACCUAGGUUGUGUAAUACCAUCAAUAGCACCAAGCAUUUUGUGCUAUUAGUUUUCGGCUCUUGGAUUUAAAAAAACUUGUAUGUAUACGGUUUAGGAGAUUGGCCCCUCCUGGGGUUGAGUUGAUUUCUAUAGUUGUGUUGGUUUAAUAGUAUAAUCUAACGGUUGUAAAAUAAAUAUUAUAUUAUAUAUUUAAUAAUUAUAUAUAUAUAUAUAUAUAUAUAUGAGUGGAGCUACUAUGCUAUCGGAAGCAUAGAGGAUCUGGUGCUUCCGAUUUUUUGGCCUUAGAUCAACCCCUUUAAUCAUUUCUAACAUUUAUAUUAAUACUAUUAAUCUGUGAGGACCACUCAACCCUACGGGUACUACUCAACCCUGAGGGGACCGCAAUCAUCCCAACCAUAUAAUUUUUGAUCCAAUGGUCAAAAAGUUGGAAGUAUCAGAUCCUCUAUACUUCCGAUAGCAAAAGAGCCCAAAUAGUAUUAAUAGUAUUCUAAUUCAACUCGAUAUCAAACAGCUUAUUUUUUUAGGCUAAAUUAUAAAAAAGCCUUCUUGAAAUCUACCACUUAUCUUAAUAUCCUCAUGUAUAAAAAAUUACAUCAAUUAUCUCUCUACAUUUUGUCAUUAUCUUAAAAAAAUCCGCCUAUUCAAAAUAAUUGUUGAAUUCAACUAUAAAACUUUAUAAAAAUGCAUUUGCAGAUAAAAUUAUAUGUAAGUAAUGCAAAAGAACUAUAAAAAUUGAAUAAAUUGCUAGAUAAGCAAUUAUUUUUGAUAGUAUUAGAAAAAUAGAAGAUCUCAUUUAUCUAAAUUUUUAUAUUUUUUUUUGAGUUGCAAGUUGGGUAUUUACUGAGAUGUGAAAUAAUAUGAUAUGCUAACCCGUUUUAGUUAAGUUUUACAGCUUAAUUUGUUAGUUCUUUAAUUUUUUGGAUCUAUUUGAGAUGAAAACAAAAUAUAGGACGGUAAUUAGUACAAUUUUUAAUACAAGAGGAUAAUUGAGGCUGAGGUUAAAGUGCACAAAAGUUUUUUGUAAUUUAGUUUUUUUUUUUACGACGUCUUUUACUACAGCAUAAAAUACUAUUCUGAAAAUCAGACCAAAUAUACACAAAGUAACAGUUCACAUUUUCUAGAAGAAUUUAAAUGUAAAUGCUCUUUAUGUUUUUAUUAGAUACAACAUAAUAUGCCCAAUUUUGCAUUUUUUAUGUCAUCCAAAGGCAAAGCAAGGAGCAUCAUUCAACACAGCCAGGAUAUAUUUGAUAGUGGAGCUGAAAAACCCAAAAAAGAAAAAAAAGAAAAAGAAAAGAAAAGAGAGGAUGAAAAAACAAAAAAUAAAAAGAAAUAAAGAAAAGGACAUGCAUGACUUGAUUCCUUGGGAGGUGGAAACUGUGGCCACCAAUCUCAUGCUGCCCCCUCUUUUGUCCUCACAUUGCUGAAAUUUUAUGCAGCCCAUCACUUCCCAAGUGCAGCCCCAUCACUACCAAGUUGUUUUCGAUGAUACAGCUUUCGAAUCGACGAUCAAAUCAAUCGAAAAAUUAUAAAAUUUAGUUUCCAAAUAUUUUCAAUAGUGUAAAUCAAAUCUAAUAGAGCCGAUCAUCGAUUUGAAAGCUGCAUCAUUGAAAACAACUUGGUAGCACGGAGGCUUCCGUACUACCGAUAGUAUACCAGCCUAGCUCUCUCUCUCUCUCUCUCUAUAUAUAUAUAUAUAUAUAUAAUUUGGCUAGAAUACUAUUAAUAGCAAAAUACCCUUUUGUUUCCAAGUUUUAAUUCUUGGAUGAAAAAUUAUAGGGUUAGAAUGAUAUUAGUUCUUUAAGGUUGAGUGGUCCCCUAAGGUUAAGUGGUCCUCACUGGGAUUAUAAUAUUUAAUCCAAUGCUUAGAAAUGAUGAAAGGAGUUGAUCCAAAAGCUAAAAAUUUGAUAGCAAAAAGAACGUAUUGCUAUCAAUAGUAUUCUAGCCCAAGCUCAUCUAAAAUUAAUAAUAUAUAUAAUAUAUAUAUUAUAUAUAAUAUAAAGUAGAGUGGGCUGUAAAUGCUUCUGGUAAGGCACGGAGGUCUGUGCUUCUAUAAGAAUUCUUGGUUUUUGAUGAUUGGACUUUCAAAUCGACCGGAUACGACUCUAAAACAACUCAUAAACGGAGCACGAUCGAGCGAUUCGAAAAGUAUUACAAACAUCAAAAACAAGAGCUGUGAAGCACGGAAGCUGCCGUGCUUCGACAGAUAGUAUAAGUAAGCUCAUCUACAUAAUAUAGUAUAUAUAUUUUUAUAUAUGUAAGUGGGAAUUUAACUGGUAUCGCUUACUGGAGCACCGGAGAGGACUCUUGUGCUGUUACACAAUAAAGAUUUUUGUUUUUGAGAUGUUCGGACUUAAUACCAAAUCGAAACAUCGAGCUAUAUCGUUAAGAGUUGAUCAAUAAGAGUGAUUUGAAAGUACACCUAGAAAAAUAAAUUUUAUGUGAUUUUUUUGAUAUCAUUUGCCUAGUAAUGAAGGGGCUCAAAAUCAAUAAAUUUUAACACGUUGCAAGUUACGGAGACGAGUUUGCAAAAGUUUUAAAAGACUGGUAAUAAAAAAAUACCCAAUCAGCACAUAGAAUUUUGAGAUAGUAAAAAUAUCUUUAAUACCACAAUAUAGAAGAAGAACUCAAUAACUUUGAUCUAAAAUUUUAAUGUCAAUAUCAUCAGUAUUUUGUCACGAUUUUUAUUUUACAGCACAAUUAGAUUUUGAAGCCACUUGAUCACUAAGGCAAAAUGAAUAAUCGAAAAAUUGCAAAUUUAUAAUUUUCAGUUUUUAGAGUAUCUUCAAAAUACUCAAUUAGAACCUCAAGUCUAAGCAGUUGUCAAUCGUAACGAUUGAAAGUUCGAACAUCGAAAACACUUGGAACAGAAAGCGCAUCUGUGCCUUAUACAGAAGCCAUACCAUGUACGCACAUAUAUAUAUAUAUUAUAAAAAUACGAGUUGGACUGGGAGCUACAUAUUAGUAGCUAAAAAUCAUCAUUGAUUUGUAUAUAAAGUAUUUUUAGCCUUUGAGAUCAACCUUUUUUAUUCAUUUCUAAUCGUCAUUGGAUUAAAUACUAUAACCAAGUGGGGACCACUCAAACCCUUAGGGACCAACUCCAUUCUAACACGUAAUAUAAUCCUGACUACUACAUUUUCAUCCAAGGGUUAAAACUUUGAUAGGCAAAAAAAACAGCGUUUUUUAAAACAUUAUAGUAUUAAGACCAGCCAUACUUAUAUAAUAUAAAUAUAUAUAUAAUAUUAUAAUAAUAUAAUUUUAAAAUAAAAUUUAUUUUCUAGGUACUUCAAAUACUCUAGAUCAAGUUUAACGGAGCCGAUCAACGAUUCGAAAGUCGCAACAUCAAAAACGAGCUGGAAGCACGGAAGGCUCCGUGCUUCCGAUAGCAUAGUAGCCUCAUAUAUAAAGAGAGAGAGAGAGAGAGAGAGUCCAGUUGCUAUACUUUUAUUAGUAUAAACCUUUGUUAGUUAAUUCGCGAAUUAUUUGCAAAUUAUUAAAAAUCCGAAUUAAAUGAUCCGUUUACAAAUUUUUUCUGAAGAAAAUGAAUUAUUCGUGAAUUUUUGGGCCAGUCGAAUAAUUUGCGAAUUAUUUUCAAAUUAUUAAAAAUCUGAAUAAAAAACUAAUAAUUUUUAUAUUUAAAUAUAGAUUAUCUUAUAUUUUAUAUCUUAUAUUUUAUAUUUUAUAUCGAAUCGUUUUUUAAGCCGAAUUUUUCAACUAAUUUUAAAAUUAGAAAACGAAUUUUUUACAUAUUAUAACCAUACCGAAUUUUUGCUGAAUCUAAAUUAACUAAGUAUGGAAUAGAUACCUUUUUACUUAUAAGUUUUUGACCGUUAAAUCUAUCCCUUUGACUACUUUCAUCCAUUAGAUCAUACUAUUCAACCAACUACCCACUCAACUCUAAGAAACCACUAUUAUUCUAAUCGGGGACCACUAUCAUUCUAACAGCACAUCCCUUCAUCCAACUGCCGAAAACUUAUGAGUACAAAAGGAUCUAUACUCAUAAGAGUAUGGUAACCCUUCAAUAUAUAUAUAUAUAUAUAUAGAGAGAGAGAGAGAGAGAGAGAGAGAGUCCGACUACUAUACUCUUAUAACUACGAUUGUUCUUGUACUCAUAAAUUGUUUUCAAUGAUAUAGCUUCCGAAUUGACGAUCCAUACCGUUAAACAUUAUCUAGAACAUUUAAAACGUUUAGAAAUCAAAUUUUAUAACUUUUCGACAUCAUUUACCUUACGAUCAAAAAGUCACAAAAUUGACAAUUUUUAACGGCCGGUAUGAGAUACUUGCUAGUUUAACAGUGUAAAAGAAUUGGAAUCGGUUUAAUUUUUGAUAGAAAAUUCUAUUCACUACGUAGAUAAAGAUCAAUAACUCCGAUCUUAAAUUGAAGGAUCCGAUCAUCUAUUUUUAAGACGUCAUUCGAUUUUGACCGUUCAUUUUAUACCCGCCUGAUGAACUUUAUUAUGAUUUCAAAAAAUUACGAAAUUUAUUUUCUAGAAGUUUUAAAUACUCUUGAUCAUAUUUAAUGGGGUGGAUCGUCAAUUCGAAAUCGCAAUCAUUGAAAACAACUUAUGCGUAUGAAGGCCUCUAUACUCAUAAGAGUAUAGUAGCCGUAGGCUAUAUAUAUAUAGUAGGUCUUAUGUGCUAUUAGAAGCACGGAGGCCUCCGUGCUCCGAAGUCGUUUUCAAUAAUGGAGUUUUUGAAUCGACAAUUCGCUCCGUUAAACUUGAUCUCACAUAUUUGAAGUAUAUACUAUACUAUUAAGAAUGCAACAGCUCUUUUACUCCUAAAUUCUUAAUCAUCUAUUAAUUUUGAUGGAUGGUUAAGAUUAAUAUCUCAUUUCUCUCUCAAUUUUUCUUCUUUCUGAAUUUCUCCUUCAUUUCUCUUUUCUUUCUCAGCCUAACCACCUAUCAAAAUUGAUAGAUGGUCCCUUAAGGGUUAGAGAGUUUGCGACAAUUGCCUCCUCGUGGGUUAUUUGUUUAGAGUGGAAAAAAAGAAUUUUUGAGAAAAAAAACACAUCAUGAGUCGAAAAUGGCUGAGACUCGCUUUUUUAGAAACCUGUAGAACCUUUAAUUAUGUUAUGUAGUUUUUUUUUUUUAAUGAGGCCCGGUUAUCUUAAUCUGUAAUAUAAUUCGACUUCUAAAAUGAAUCAAGCAGUAGCAUAUAUACUAUUUUUUUUCUAAAAAAAUUAUACUAUUUUUUUUAUUGAGAUCUUCUUAAUUUUUUAAUUUUUAAAAUCAAAUAAUUUUAGCCAAUUAAGUUAGAGAUUUUAUUAAAGUAAUUGGUAUAUUCAUCAAAUUAAUAACUUUGAUUAGUUUUAGUAAUGAAAAUUAUUACUAAUUAGCAGCUAACAGCAUAUUGAGACAUUAAAUUUAAUAAAAGUUUUAACUUAACGAAGUAAAAACUGAAAUAAAGAAAAGGAGUUUUCCCUCGCUGCUAUUUAAAAUUUUUAAAUUUAUCUUUCUAUUCUCAAAAUACUCUUCUAAACACCAAAUUUCAUAAAUAAACGCUAGACCGAGUCAUAUAUUUGAAGGAAUUUUUUGUAAUCAAAAGGAGCAUAUUGAUCGGUCAAGAACGUAUUAAAUAUUUUUAAAUCGCUGAAUGGUAUAUUAGAUAUUAUCCGUAAAAACAAUUUGAAAUUGAUGACUCCCAAUCUUUGUUAGUUAAUUCGUGAAUUAUUCAUGAAUUAUUGAAAAUCCGAAUUAAACGGUCCGUUUACGAAUUUAUUCCAAAUACAAUAAAUUAUUCGCGAAUUUUUGGGCCAGCCGAAUAAUUCGCGAAUUAUUUGCGAAUUAUUCCGAUCGAAUUAUUGAAAAUCUGAAUAAAAAACUUAUAAUUUUUAUAUUUAAAUAUAAACUAUCUUAUAUUUUAUAUUUUAUACCGAAUUCAGUUUUUAAGCCGAAUUUUUCAACGAAUUUAAAAGUUAGAGAAUAAGUUUUAUGCGUAUUAUAUCCGUACCGAAUUUUUGGCGAAUCCGAAUUAACUAACUAUUCUCCCAAUCAAAAUAAAAAUAGUUGAAGGAUGUAUUUCAAGAUUGCCUAUAGUCGAGGGAUCUUUAUACAUUUUUACUUUCUUUUACACCUACUGGGUCAAGAUUGUGUUGUUAGGCGCAGAUUUUCUUGCACCUUAGUCGUGCAGAAAAUUUCUACAUAUAUAUUCUACGUUAUCAUUAUUGGUGGGUAUUACUUAAUUUUUAAUCAUUUUGAUUCUCAUAAUGUAGUAUACAGAAAUUUCCUGCACUGUAAGUCACGUUUCAAAGACUAGGUGCUCUACGUUGAUUCAUAUACAUAUCUAUGAAGAAAAUUUUGUAGAUGUUGAAGUUGUGAGACAAAUAUGGGACCCGCAGAAUCGCACACGAAUCUGCGGGUCCCAUAUUUGCCUAGUGAACGAAGGGGCUCAAAGUCAACAGCUGAAAAUAAAAAUCUUACAAAAUGUAAUAAUAUGACAUUAAAAUUUUAAAUCAAAAAUAUUGAUCUUGUUUUAUAUAGUAUAAAGAAUUUUCUAUUAAAAUUUCACGUGAUUUGGAUAUUUCUACACCGUUAAACUUGCAAACGGCUCACUACGGCUAUUGAAAUUUGUUGAUUUUGAGCCCAUUUGAUCACUAGGCAAAUGAUAUCGAAAAAUAAUAAAAUUUAUUUUCUAGGUACUCCAAAUACUCUAGAUCAAGUUUAACGGAGCCGAUCGAGUCGAUAAUUCGAAGUCGCAACUCGAAAACGAGCUGAAAGACGAAGGCUCCGUGCUUCAGUAGCAUAGUAGCCUUACUCUCUCUCUCUCUCUUCCUCUCUCUACGUUCUCUCUCUCUCUCUCUCUCUAUAUAUGAAUACUACCUAUAACAUAUAUAAUAUAUAUAAUUACGGGCGCUGUGUCUUCAGGAGCACGGACGCGCGCCUCCGUGCUCCUGGCCGUUAUACGCGCAUGAUGGAAUUUCGAAUCGACGAUCGGCUCCGUUUAACUUAAUCUAGGGCUAUUGAAGUUUCUAGAAAAUAAUUUUGAUGAUGUUUUGAUAUCUUUACCUAGUUAUCGAAAGGAUUCAAAACUCAAUAAUUAUAAUGGGUUAUAUCUCUCACUCACGGCUGUAGAAGUAUUCCAAUCAGUAUUGAAUUGUGAUACAAUGAAAUUUUUUGUAACUAUCUACAACUGGAAUCAAUAUUUCUGAUCGGAAAAUUUUAGUGCUAUAUCCACCUCUCUUCACUCGCACCUCUCUACUCUCUUUAGCCGGUUAAAAAUUAUGAUAUUUUGAAUCCUUUCUGAAUUGCUAGUAAACUCACUAUCGAAAAAUCGCCAAUAACUUAUUUACUAGACACAAUUUAAAUACGGCUAGAUCAACGGUCUAACGAGCUUGCAUCCAUUCGAAAUUCAUCAUCGAAAACGCUCACGGAACAAACAAACAAAAAAAAAAAAAUAAAAAAAACAAACAAAAAAAACAAAAAACACAAACAUAGGGAAAAAAAAAAAUAACACGCCUUGAGUAGCCAACAGUCCUGCUCUCUCUCUCUCUCUCUCUCUCUCCUCUAUAUAUAUCAUUAUAUAUAUAUAUACUAUAUACUCUCACUCAGCAGGAAUUUGAUCGCACGUAUGAGCCGUUCUUGAUGAGAACAAUAUAUAUAUAUAUCACGUUGUCGCUGAGCCGUUUCGAUGAUGAAACAAUAUAAUAUAAUAUACUAUAUAUAUAUAUAUAUAUAAUAUACACCAAUAUAUAUAUAAUAAAUAGAAGAUACGGCCUACUAUAUAUUAUGAGUACGAUCGGUAUCUCGUACUCAUAAGUUAUUUUCGAUGAUAAGCUCCGACAUCCCCACAUCCACACGAUUAAAUGUUAUUACAGUAUUUAUACUUCUAGAAAUUAAUUUAUAUAAUUUUCAAACAUCAUUUACCUUACAAUCAAGCGACCUCACACCACUCUGACAAUUUUUAACGGUCUUUGAUGGAAUACUGCUAGUUUAACGGUGUAAAGAGAGCAAUUUGUUUGAAUUAUUUGAUAAAAAAUUCUAUUCACUACACUCACACAGAUCAAUAACUCCGAUCUUGAAGUGAAGCUCCGAUCAUCCUUUUUUAAAUGCUGUCCCCGAUUUGACUUCAUUUUAUGCCCCGCUGAUGGACUUAUCUUAUGAAUUUCGAAAAAUUAUGACAAUAUUUCUCACAACACUUUCAAAUACUCUAAACAUUCAUAUUAAUGAGUGGAUCGCUCGAUUCCACACUGAUCCAUUAAAAAAACAUCUCACCCAAUAGUCUCACAUCGGAUGGAAUUGAGGUCUUUUCAUUGGUUAUAAGAGACUUAGACAUUAUAGUAAAAUAACUCUCCUACCACCAUUUGGCGGUGUUUGGCCCAAGCAUAUUAUUGAGCAAUAGUGGCGCCUGGUGUUGUGUUUGUAUGCAGAGCGGCUCAACAGCUUGGACAGUGUGUUGUUGCUUGCGAGUCUCGGCUUAAGCCCAGCGGACUGUUCACGAUCUGGAUGACGCUCUAGACGAGUCUCACAUUGCCUCUGAUCUUGCUGUAGUGUGUAUUGGAACUGACGCAGACUCAGCUCCUUAGAGCGGUAGUCGCCUUACACCAUACAGUCCCACAUGUGAUGGAAACGUUGUCAUUGGUUUAUAGGACUUAGACUAAUAAUAAUUAACUGGGUUAAGCCAUUUGCCUGUGGCUUACAUACUUAUGAGUACGAAGCACUCCAAUAUCAUAAAGUAGAUAAUACCCAUGGCCUAUAUAUACUUAUAUACUAUAGAGUUGGCUGUAUGCUUCGUAGCACGGCAGCCUCCUGCUCCACUUUGUUUCGCAUGUUUGGACUUUCGAAAUCGACGAUCGGGUCUCCGGUUAGAGUUGGAUCUAGAUUAUUUAAGCUACAAGAAGAUUAAAUUGCGAUUUUUCGAUAUUUUUCGCCUAGUGACGAAGGGCUCAAAAUCAAAAUUUAACAGGCCGGUGGUGAAGCCGGUUGCCAGUUUAACGGAUGUAGAAAUAUCAAAUCACGUGAAAUUUUCAUGGAAAAUCUCUAUACACUAUAAACAAGAUCAAUAACUUUGAUCUAAAAAAUUUAAUUCAUAUCAUCAUAUUUUUUGUUCACACUCUCUCUCUUCAGCGUUUUGAUUUCUGAACCACUUCGACACUAUGGCAAAUGUAUCGCAAAUAAUCGCAACAAUUAUUUCUACAUCACUUCAAUAACUCUAGAUCAAGUCUAACAGCCACGUCGUAUUUUAAAGUCGUGCCCAAAAUCGAAACAAGAUGGAAGCACGGAGCGCUCCAUUGCUUCCGAAGCACCCAGACCAACUCCGAUUAUAAUAUAUAUAUAUAUAUUAUAUAUAUAUAUAUAUAUAUAAUAAUAAUAUAUAAUAUAUGCUAGGCUGUAAAAUUUCUGCAUGUAAGAUCACGUUGCAAAGACUAGGCGCUCUACGUUCGAUUACAUAAUACAUACCAACCCUAAUGUAACGAAAAUUUUGAUAGCAUGAUUGAAAUUUGGAGACAAAUAAUCCCACCAGAAUGCAACGAAAUCUUGCGGAAACAGCACAGAGCUAAGAACAAGUUAAACAUAACGCCUUUUAAAUAAUAUCGUAAUUUAUUUAUAUAGUAAAACGUGAACUAUGCUUGUCCUGUCAAAAGCGAAUGAUUCUUUUAUAUCUGCUUGCUGCGCGAGAAGCUAUUGAUGUUAUAUAAACACUUUAUUUCGUCAUAUAAAGUUAUAUAGUGUUUUAUUCAGUAGUGCAUUAUUUAUUAUCUUGUCACAUAAAAUAGGAUGAUUUUGAGAGUAUCUUAGUAUGGUUUCGCCCUCAAAAGCAUUUUUUUCUGAUCACUAUACUUAUGAUUCGAUUUUGUCACUCGUAUGGACGCUUAAUCUAUUGGAGUUACUAUACUUCAUCUAGGAGUGUAUGAAUAUACAUUUCAUCAUUCACAUGAUAGCAUUUAUGAGUGUAUCAUUUAAUAAGCUUAAAAUAUAGACAAAUGUAUCUUAAUGAUAUAGAUUUAUUUAUUUGAGUUGCCUUCAUAAAAUAUGUGGAUGUUUUAUAGUACACUCUAUUAAAUUUUCAUAUAAUUUUCUCCGCGAAAUAUCUCUAUAUAACCCAUUCGCACUUCUCAUUUAGUAUUUUCUGUUUAAAGUGCUAAUCAAUUGUUCCCUGAUGUUUCGUUUUUCUCUUUUAUUAAAAUUUUAUUAUAUUUCUUCAACAGUGACAAAGUCACACACUCACACAACUAAAGUAAAUAUCGUUAAUUAGAGUUUUCUUGAUCGUGACAUUCGACUAUAUAUUGAUUGACGUAUUAAAUCUAUAUUUCAGAAUACUCUCGUCUCACAUAUUUAUGAUUUGGAGAUUAGAAUCCGAGUACAGGAUCCCUUUAGUUUUAACGGACGGUUCUAUUGAUCCGAAGAUAUGGGAACUGCGCUCCACAUAGUCUCCAUUGCAUCCUAAUGACUCCACUCAUUAUGAACCAAACACAAAACACUACUAGAAGAAAAAUAAUCGAAUUCAACGGACGAAAUAUCACCAAUAACAGAGGAACACGCGGAAGACACCCACCCGCUCUACAAAAACCUAUAUCGAUAACUCACAAUCGCUAUAUGGCGAGAAAACUGACCACAACCUGGGGUCACUCAAGCACACAAUACCUUCGAUGCAGAUCUCUUAACACAACAUAAUGCAUACUCGCAUUGCCUCAAAAAUUAACCCCCACUCGGAUGGCCCAUGGAUACAACACUGAAUGAAACAAAACAGAGAAGAGAAUAACGUUAGUGGCAGGAAAAAUUGCCACGGACUAACCACUCACACUCACUAAAAACAGAAAACCCAUCUCACAUAAUUUCCAUUCUCACUCUAACCCAACACAGAGAUAAAACACGAACAGAAGGAGAGAGAACGAGACAAACCAAGCAAAAAUACGACAAAAGCUCGGUUACUCCUUCUAGCUCGUGCGCUCUCGCACUAAAAGCGAGAUUCUAUACUCGCGACGACCCCUCUCACACGAUCAGAUCAGUAAGCAACAGCAGCAUCCGAAUCCAUCGGCGACGGCUCUACAAAAACACGACUGUAACAAUGAGGCGUGCGCCACGGUACUACAAAUUGAAAGUCGUCCUCCAGUGUGGGAUCAGGUUACCGCACCUCCGGAAACAUCAUCGAACUACCCACUAAGUAUAAAGAUCUAAGCUCAGUUGAUAGAAAAAAGAAGCCUGAACAAUAUACAGCUAUAUGCUAUCCUAUCACGAUCCAAUACUACUAUCUGGUUAGCAGUUAUGCAAUCUCCGGACUCAAUCCAUAUGGGGACUGUGGUAAUACACNNNNNNNNNNNNNNNNNNNNNNNNNCUCUCUCUCUCUCUCUCUCUCUCUCUCUCUAUAUAUAUAUAUAUAUAUAUAUAUAUAUAUAUAUAUAUAUAUAUAUAUAUAUAUAUAUAUAUAUGCUAGGCUGGUAGAAAUUUCUUGCACUGUAAGUCACGUUGCAAAGACUAGGCGCUCUACGUUGAUUCAUAUACAUACCUAUGAAGAAAAUUUUGUAGAUGUUGAAGUUGUGAGACAAAUAUGGGACCCGCAGAAUCGCACACGAAUCUUGCGAAGAAGCAGGAGCUAAGAACAAGUUAAACAUAACGCCUUUUAAAGUUUUUAUUGCGUAAUUUAUUUAUAAGUAAAAGUGAACAUAUGCUUGUCCCUCAAAAGGGGAAGAUUCAUUUUGAAAAUUCUGCUUUUGCUGCGCGUAGAAGCUAUUUGGAUGCAAUUUGAUGAAAAAACAAAAGUAUUUCGUCAAAUAAUUUUUCUCAAAGAUUAAUAGCGUGGAAGUGCCGCUUGAGUAUCUUCAGUAGUGCAAUUUUUGUCGAUUUAAUCCAACGUUUAUUUUGCUUUUUGUCUUGUCACAUAAAAAUAGAGAUUUUGAGAGUAUCUAGUAUUCGCUCAAUAAGAUUGUUAUUCAUCACUAACUUAUGAUUCGAUUGUUGUACCUGAUGGACGCUUAAUAUAACAAACAGGAUGUAUGAUAUACAUUCUAUUUAGAGUGUAUGAUAUACAUUCACUCAUUCAAUGAAUAGAGUUGUUUCACUGAUCAUAUGAUGUAUCAUGUAAUAAGUAAAAUAUAGACAAAAUGUAUGAUAUAGAUUUUAUUUAGAUUGUAUGGGUAGAGUUGCUCAUUAUAAAAUAGUGGUGGAUGGUUUUAUAGUACACCGUCCUUCUAUGUGGGAAGAUCUUUCAUAUAAUUUUGGGAAAACUUUAAAAACCCAUCUAGUGGUUCCGCACUUUCUCAUUUUAGUAUUUUCUGGUUUAAAGUGUAUCAAUUUGUUCCCCUGUGGUUUCGUUUUUCUCUUUUUAUUAUCAAUUUUAUUAUUAUUUUUCUUAAAUCAGUGACAAAGUUAAAAUUAAAGAGUACUAAAGUAAAUAUUCGAUAAAUCUAGAUGGGUAUCUGAAGUUUUUUGUAUAUAAAUUAAUGAAAUAUUAAGAAAACAUGUGGCGAAAAGAUAAAAACAAAACCACAGGGGAUAAAUUGAUACACUUUAAAUCACAGAUACUAAAAUAAGAAAGUGAGAAACUACAAUAGAAGUUUUUGAAGUUUUUUCUAUAAUUUUUGCUCAGCAUUAAAAAAUCAAAAAAUAUUUUGAGACUAUUUGU